CUGCUGCUCCAGUUUCAACUGCGGCUAUGGAGGUGCACAGCAGGCUUUUAUUCAACGAGUGAGGGAGCUCACCCUUAACGACAAGGGGUGAAAAGGGGCCACAUAAAAAAAAAUCUGAAGCCCUACAGGGCUUUGUGAUAUAUUUACCAGUGUGGCGCUCUGAAGAAUUAAACAAAUUAAGGACAAGGGACUUGUGACUUGGGGAGAAAAGGUGCCCUCCACCACGUCAACCCUACCCUGACCACCUACCACAUACAAACACACUGGAUCACUUCAUGUAAAUGUUACAUUUGUUGUAAUAAAAUGCAUUGCGCAAAACACCA